rnacentral:rRNA from 1 species
AAAAAAGUUUUGAAAAAAAAAUGAAAAUUUUCNCUAAAAAAUUUUACUUUU